AUGACGAUCCUCUGCUGGAACUGUCGGGGUUUGGGCCACCCCGGUACAGUUCGAGAACUGGUGUGCCUAGUGCGCACAUACAGCCCCACUGUCGUGUUCAUCUCUGAGAUGCGACAGUGCGAAGAGAGCGUGAGAAGAAUAAGAGAAAGAAUAGGCCUCAAACAUUGUAUCACCCAUGAUGGGGUGGCCAAAGGUGUCGGCAUCGCCCUAUUUUGGGACGAUAGCGUUGAAAUAAACAUGCUCUCUUAUGGAUCAUGUUACAUUGAUGUUCAUAUCCGAUAUGAUCAGAACAGCCCCUUGUGUAGGGGUACUUUUGUGUACGGAGAACCAAAAGCACAUGAGAGGCAUCAUAUGUGGAGUUUUCUCAAAAGAAUUAAACAUAGAUCGAGUGAACCGUGGUUGAUGAUGGGUGAUUUUAAUGAAACAAUGUGGCAAGGAGAGCAUUUCUCGGUCGCAAAAAGGUCUGAACGAAACAUGGGUAAUUUCAGAGAAUGCUUGGGGUGGUGCGGACUGUACGAUCUUGGGUAUAAAGGCCCGGAGUACCUACGAUAA
rnacentral:rRNA from 1 species